AUUAGGGUUCGAUUCCGGAGAGGGAGCCUGAGAAACGGCUACCACAUCUAAGGAAGGCAGCAGGCGCGCAAAUUACCCAAUCCUAAUACAGGGAGGUAGUGACAAGAAAUAACAAUACAGGACUUUUUGGUUUUGUAAUUGGAAUGAGUUAAGUAUAAACCCCUUUACAAGUAUCAAUUGGAGGGCAAGUCUGGUUCCAGCAGCCGCGGUAAUUCCAGCUCCAAUAGCGUAUAUUAAAGUUGUUGCAGUUAAAAAGCUCGUAGUUGGAUUUCUGUUAAUAAUUUAUAUAAAAUAUUUUGAUGAAUAUUUAUAUAAUAUUAACAUAAUUCAUAUUACUAUAUAUUUUAGUAUAUGAAAUUUUACUUUGAGAAAAUUAGAGUGCUUAAAGCAGGCAUAUGCCUUGAAUACUCCAGCAUGGAAUAAUAUUAAAGAUUUUUAUCUUUCUUAUUGGUUCUAAGAUAAGAAUAAUGAUUAAUAGGGACAGUUGGGGGCAUUUGUAUUUAACAGUCAGAGGU
rnacentral:rRNA from 1 species